AAAAGCUCAAAUUUGAAAUCUGGCCGGCUUGUUCCUGUCCGAAUUGUAGUUUCAAGGAACGUUUUCGGGGGUGGCAGAUGUGUAAGUCCGUUGGAAAACGGCACCAUAGAGGGUGAUAGUCCCGUGUCUGCAUCGCACUUGCCUCCUAUAUGUUACGUUUCCGAAGAGUCGCGUAGUUUGAGAAUGCUGCGCAAAGAGGGUGAUAAAUAUCAUCUAAAGCUAAAUACCGGCGAGAGACCGAUAGCGAACAAGUACCGUGAGGGAAAGUUGCAAAGAACUUUGAAAAGAGAGUUAAAUAGUACGUGAAAUCGUCCAUAGGGAAAUGUUGAAACACCCUCGCGCUGUGCACGGUCAUCAGCCUCUCUUUGGAGGGGUGCACUGGCUCGCUGCAUGGGCUGAAGAUCGGUUUGGUUGCUUGCGCUAAAAGGGCCUGUGGAAGGUAGCUCCAGCCUCAAAACUGGAGUGUUAUAGCCACUUGUCCCGACUUUUGCGUGGCCUGACCGAAGACUUUGCUGUCGUCUUGGGGAAGCAGCCGCCUCACUUUGUGUUGUGCGUAGACAACCUAGUUGACUGCGCGUCAUGUUAAUCAGAGGAGCCCGGUUUGUGUACCACUUUACGCACAUAGGAUCUUCAGAGAACGGUUUUCAGCAACCCGUCUUGAAACACGGACCAAGGAGUCCAACACAUGCGCAAGUCUUUGGGUGUCAAACCCACUGGCACAGUGAAAGCAAUUUUACUCAGUGCGAAAAGCCCAGCAAUGGGAUGCUGCAUUGGCCGGUUCUUGAGGCUUGCCAAAGGAACUGAGCAUGAGCGCAUGUGUUGGGACCCGAAAGAUGGUGAACUAUACCUGAGUAGGGUGAAGUCAGAGGAAA
rnacentral:rRNA from 1 species